CCUCUCUUUCUGUUCUUCUAUUAUUCUGUCUAAGACUCCUUUGACGAAUACUUCAUCAUAAUCUCUACUUUCAACAAUUUUCUGUUUUAAAUCGACUAUUUUCAAAUCUGCAGUCACAUGAACUCCCAGUUCAGCCGCGAGAUUUUGCAAAUCUUCCUUACGAGCUCUUCCUAAUUUUCCAGAAGCAGUUUCCCAAAUAAUUAAGAAGAAGCAAAGAACAGAAAGGCCUAGGAAUAAUCUUCAAAAUAACAGUAGCUUACGAAUUUCUAGCGUGUUUAUGAACUGCCUCUGGGUUGACUGUGAUUUUAAUUAUUUUGAGUUAACCGUGGACUUCGUCCCCAGCAUGAUCACUUUUAAUCAAAGUUUGACUUUAAAAAUUAACAAGAAAAAACAAUGUCCAAUUAGAAUCUACAGUCAGAAGAUAAUUUCCAGCAAUUUCUUUCCAAGAGGCAUCUGAGAAGGAAGAUAACGUAGCUGAGACAUUCAAGGAAACUUUAUCUCUCUUGACUUUUCCACGGAUUAUCUUCAGAUUUUCUUAUGACAAGUGUUACUUUAUACAACUAUUAAGACUAUUAUAAAAUAAAGAAGCAUUUCUGGG